GCGGGCGUAGCUUAAUGGUAAAGCUCCAGCCUUCCAAGCUGGCCAUGUCGGUUCGAUUCCGAUCGCCCGCU
rnacentral:tRNA from 1 species